UGAGGAAUAUUGGUCAAUGGGCGAGAGCCUGAACCAGCCAAGUAGCGUGCAGGAUGACGGCCCUAUGGGUUGUAAACUGCUUUUAUGCGGGGAUAAAGUGAGGGACGUGUCCUUCAUUGCAGGUACCGCAUGAAUAAGGACCGGCUAAUUCCGUGCCAGCAGCCGCGGUAAUACGGAAGGUCCGGGCGUUAUCCGGAUUUAUUGGGUUUAAAGGGAGCGUAGGCCGUGGAUUAAGCGUGUUGUGAAAUGCAGGUGCUCAACGUCUGCACUGCAGCGCGAACUGGUCCACUUGAGUGUGCGCAACGCAGGCGGAAUUCGUCGUGUAGCGGUGAAAUGCUUAGAUAUGACGAAGAACUCCGAUUGCGAAGGCAGCUUGCGGGAGCACAACUGACGCUGAAGCUCGAAAGUGCGGGUAUCGAACAGGAUUAGAUACCCUGGUAGUCCGCACGGUAAACGAUGGAUGCCCGUUGUCAGGCUGUUUCAGCCUGGUGACCAAGCGAAAGCAUUAAGCAUCCCACCUGGGGAGUACGCCGGCAACGGUG
rnacentral:rRNA from 1 species